rnacentral:lncRNA from 1 species
GCCAAGAUGGUGAAACCCCAUCUCUACUAAAAAUACAAAAGAUUAGCCGGCUGUGAUGACGCGCACCUGUAAUCUCAGCUACUCGGGAGGCUGAGGCAUGAGAAUCGCUUGCACCCAGGAGGUGGAGGCUGCAGUGAGCCGAGAUCACGCCAGGGCACUCCGGCCUGGGCGACAGAGUGAGACUUCGUCUCAAGAAAAACCAAAAAUCCAAAAGAACUACAGGCAUCGGCUGUGUCCCCACUAGGAAGCCGGAGGGGAGCAGGGCUGGGUGUGUCUUCUCUGGCUGCGUCCCUGUGGCCACAAGGCCUGUUCUUCCUCUGUGCCCCGCCUGCCAAGGACCCAGCCUUGUGAAGGAUGGAUGAACGAAUCAUUGAGCAAAUGAAUGAGUGUGUGAACAGGGAGAGUCUGCAGCAGGGAGACCCCGGCAGCUUCGAGUAUGGAGGGGAGACUCUGGCCGCCUGAGCUCUAUUUUCCAGGGACAACUCCAGACCCAUGAUCC